GAUGAACGCUGGCGGCGUGCCUAAUACAUGCAAGUCGAGCGAACGGACGAUAAGCUUGCUUUUCUGAUGUUAGCGGCGGACGGGUGAGUAACGCGUGGAUAACCUACCUAUCAGACUGGGAUCACUUCGGGAAACCGGAGCUAAUACGGGAGAAUAUUCUGAACCGCAUGGUGCAUAAGAGAAAGACGGUCGUUCUGGAAGUUAUAGCUGGAUCCGGGCUGCAUUAGCUAGUUGGUAAGGUAACAGCUUACCAAGGGAAGUAGGCGUAAACGACCUGAGAGGGGGAUCGGCGACAUGGGAACUGAGACACGGUCCAGGCUCCUACGAGAGGCAGCAGUAGGCUACCUGCCGCAAUAGUCGGAAGUCUGACGGAGCAGCGCCGCGUGAGUGGUGGAGGUCCUCGGAGCGUAAUACUCUGUUAUUAGGGAAGAACAUCUGUGUAAGUAACUGUGCAGAUCGUGACGGUAACUAGUCAGAAAGCAACGGCUAACUACGUG
rnacentral:rRNA from 1 species